rnacentral:rRNA from 1 species
AGGAUCAUUAUUGAAAUAAACCUGAUGGGUUGUUGCUGGUUCUCUAGGGAGCAAUGUGCACACCUUGUCAUCUUUAUANNNNNNCUGUGCACCUUUUGUAGACCUUUCAGGUCUAUGUUGCUUCAUUUACCCCAAUGUAUGUUAAUAGAAUGUUGUGCCUAAUAUAAUAUAUACAACUUUCAGCAACGGAUCUCUUGGCUCUCGCAUCGAUGAAGAACGCAGCGAAAUGCGAUAAGUAAUGUGAAUUGCAGAAUUCAGUGAAUCAUCGAAUCUUUGAACGCACCUUGCGCUCCUUGGUAUUCCGAGGAGCAUGCCUGUUUGAGUGUCAUUAAUAUAUCAACCUUCUCUUGUUGAGUGGUUUGGAUGUGGGGGUUUGCUGGCCUUCUUUAAAGGUUUUUAGCUCUCCUGAAAUACAUUAGCAGAACAACCCUGUUCAUUGGUGUGAUAAACUAUCUACGCUAUUGAAUGUGAAAGGGGCAGUUCGGCUUUCUAACAGUCCUUGGACAGCUCAUCAUUAAUGUGACCUCAAAUCAGGUAGGACUACCCGCUGAACUUAAGCAUAUCAAUAAGCGGAGGAAAAGAAACUAACAAGGAUUCCCCUAGUAACUGCGAGUGAAGCGGGAAAAGCUCAAAUUUAAAAUCUGGCGGUC